rnacentral:rRNA from 1 species
GACGUAGGGCGCGAGCGUUGUCCGGAUUUAUUGGGCGUAAAGAGCUCGUAGGCGGCUUGUCGCGUCGUUCGUGAAAACCUGCAGCUCAACUGCAGGCUUGCGGUCGAUACGGGCAGGCUAGAGUUCGGUAGGGGAGACUGGAAUUCCUGGUGUAGCGGUGAAAUGCGCAGAUAUCAGGAGGAACACCGGUGGCGAAGGCGGCAUCCUGGACCAAUAUUGACGCUGAGGAGCGAAAGCCAGGGGAGCAAACGGG